rnacentral:other from 1 species
AAAAACCUGGAAUGUUCGAUAAUUUCUGAUGUUUUGAACCUACAUGACUUAAAAAGGGAUUCCUAUAUCCAUAUCUUGAUGUCAGGCCUCAUUCUUUAGAGGAAGGCAGAUAAUAUGUGCGGUUGCCCACCUAGUAAACGCUAGGAGUCAAGAAUCAGAAACCGGCAUUUUGGGUUUUUA